GUGUAGAUUGUUGGUGAUUUAGAUAAUGAAACUAGGGGGCUGUUUGGCUAAGCUUAUUGGAAUGACUUAUUUACUUAUUUGCUUAUUUGAAAAGCAAAUAAGUCAUAAGGGAAUGACUUAUGUGUUUAUGUGAUAGUUGUGAUUUAGAUAACGAAACAAGUAUAAUAAAAUAAGAACAUGGUGGAUACGCCGCUGGUAUUUCCUAUAUAUAAGUGUUCUUAUUUUAUUACUCUUGUAGCGUUAUCCGAAUCACUUUAGGAUUUUGUGUACAAUUGAUCUAAUAUUCGAUUAUCCAAAUCCUUGAAGAAUCUCCCAUAUCUUUAUAUGUUAAAUUCUUUGAAGGAUGUCUAAAGUAUUAUUAUAAAUCAUUGACUUGAUUUAUAUAAUACUCACACAAGUUUUGAUUAAUUUUAAAACUGUUAUUAUUAAUCCUUGAUUGGUUUUCUAAUAAUACAUUAACGAGUUUUACAAUGAUUUCAACGAUGUUACAAUAUACAAUUUCAAAUGGCAUGAAAAUUACUUAGCAAUAAUCAUAUUGCCAUAUACAAUACUUUUUGCCACGAGUUUUCAUAAUAAAGAUUACGUAUUGCAAUACUAAACUUUUGCCAUUCUUUGGCUUCAAGAUUCAUUUUCAAUCGACAACUCUUGUAGUUGUCAAAGUAUUACAAUAUCAACUUUUGCCAUUUAUUUGGCUAACAAAACCUAUGUAUUCGCCGGCAUUUUUAUGCUGACUUUAUUUUCACAUAUGUUUCAGGACUUUUUAAACCGAAGAAAACGAGAUUUAUAUUGUUAUAUUAGUGAUACUUAG
rnacentral:lncRNA from 1 species